CCUGUUGUGUGGUUGCACUUUGGGAAAUAUUGACUGAUAUGAAAGUGGAGAGUGCUCAUUUAGACAGGAAAAAAAGAAAUUAUACAAUUGUCCCUCAUAGCCAAAAGAAAAGAAAGUCAAUGUCUCAGCCCCAGCAUGUUCUCCGCGCACACAGUUGUACCCUCUGGUUUAUCUGGAGGGUGCAAUCUUCUUAAAAGUAAAACGAACUUGGCCCUGCAACAUGAGUGAACCCUGUUUUCGGGGCAGGUGUAUCCGGUCGAGAAAGAAAACAGCGUUCUGUGGUUAGGCAGCCUAGCGCAUCGCAGUUCAGCACAUUCACAAAUCAGCCUGCCUGGGAGGGGCUCAACCACACACAUAGACGUGGGGCCUAUGUAGAAACCUCUCGGCCUCUUUGGGUUCGGGUUCCGAAGGCAGCACCGAUCUGGAGUUGAACAACGCUGAUGGAAAAGAACGUUCCACGCCACCCACGGGACACUGCCCUGGGCCCUUUCCAGCCGAAGUGUCAUGGCUACUUACAUAGACAACGACGAAAAUCCCGCUGCAGAUCACACAGCUUGGUUCCAGUGUGAACACAUUUUGAAAACUCAUAGCCCCCGUUCUGCAGGGUUUAACCCAAAAAGAAGACAUCUGGCCGCUCUAAGAAGUGGGCAGUGCUUUGAACUCAGCAACAGGGCAGAGAGGGGUUGCCACCAGCCCUCCAAUCUGCCUCUGAGUUCUAAAUCAAUUUCAGUUACAUAUCAUUUUCGUUUGGUUUGGUGAGUGGCUGGCAAGUUUAGUUGGACUUGGAAGUAGAGAAAGGACUAGGAUGCAGUAAUGGAGUAUUUCCAGUCCUCAAUUCGUCCUCACAAAACUUCAUCCUUGUGCCCACUUUGCAGAUGGGAACUCAGAGUCACUAGGAAUUGAAGUGAAUCGUUGAAUGCCAAGGGCGGACAGCGGGCCUAUGGCAGACUCCUCAUCCUGCGCUUCCUCAGAUCUCUGGAUUUCCAGCAUAUUAUUCUUUUGAGUGGUGUCCCUGGGUGGUGCAAAUGGCUAAUGAGCUUGGCUGCUGACCAAAAGUUUGGAGGUUUGAGAUCACCCAGAGGCACUCCAGAAGAAAGGCCUGGAGAUCUACUGAAAAAUCAGCAACUGAAAACACUGCAGAGCACAGUCUACUCUGACACACAUGGGGUCGCCACAAGUUGGCAUUGACUCAGCUGAAAGUGGUGCUGGUAUUUGUUUGAGGAGAUCACCAACCUCAGCAGAUACAUAGGUAGAAAAGGAGGGGGCGUAAUUAACAUUUAUGGAGUGCUGACCUGUGGCCAUCAAUUCCAACUCCUAGGAACCUAUAGGACAGAGUAGAAUAGCCCCAAAGGGGUUUCCAAGGCUGUGUUCUUUAUGGAAGCAAACUGCCACACCUAUCUCUUGCGGAGCAGUUGGUGGGAUCGAAUCACCGACUUUUCAGUUAGCAGCCGAGCACUUAACCACUGAGCCACCAGAGCUCCCAAGCCCCUGUAUACAUAUUUUAUCCUCUGUGAGAAUGAAGAAACUGAAGCACUAAGAAGUUAAUAGUCAAAGAUUACCCAAAGCAAGAAUUCAAAACCAGGCAUCUGACCCCAAUGUUCAAACUCAUAAGCACUAUAUGGUCUUUUGAGUCAGACAUACCUGAGUUCAAAUUCAGACUCUAUCUGCUAGUAGCUGUGUAACCUUGGGCAAGUCACUUGACCACGGUGGCCAUUGUUUCUUAUCUGUAAAGUGAGGAGAAAAUAAUGCCUACCACUUAUGGUUGUUAAGAACAGCAUUUAAGUGAGGUCACUCAGGUAAUAUAUUUACCCUGGUGCCCAACUCAUAAAGGACCUCAAUAAACGCUAAAUAUUAUUAGCAGCAUAACCAUGGCCCAAAGGAUCAGUCCACUUUGUCUUUACUUCCCUAAUAAGUUCUCCUCUUUCCAGUUCUCCUGUGGAUGUUACUACCUGUUGUUGAACUAAGAAAAGCCUUCUAUUUAUGUUAGCACCCCAUCCAGCUGAUCUGAGGAAAGGAAGCCCAGAAGACAGAGAAAAAUGUAUGCUCCUUAUUAUGGGUUGAAUUGUGUCCCCCAAAAAUGUGAGUCAAUUUGGCUAGGCCAUGAUUCUCAGUAUUUUGUGAUUGUACACAAUUUUGUCACCCGAUGUGAUUUUCCUAUGGGUUGUAAAUCCUCUGUGAUGUUAAUAAGAUGGGAUUAGCGGCAGUUAUGUUAAUGAGGCAGGAUUCAAUCUACAAGAUUCGGUUGAGUUUUAAAUCACUGUCUUCAGAGAUACAAAAGAGAGAAGUGAGCAGAGAGAUGCGGGGGGAGCCUCAUACCACCAAGAAACGACAGCCAGGAGAAUAACGUGUCCUUUGGGCCCAGAGUCCCUGUGCUGAGAAGCUCCUCGACCAGGGAGGAUUGAUGACAAGGACCUUCCCCCAGAGCCAAAAGAGAGAGAAAGCCUUCCCCUGGAGGUGGCACCCUGAAUUCAGACUUCUAGCCUCCUAAAAUGUGGUUCCCAUUCAUCUGACCUCCGGUUCUUGGGACUUGAGCUAGCAGCUUACGUGCCAAACUUGGAAUUCAUCGAUCUUCAUAGCCUGUGAGCAAGAGUCCUGCUCUCUGACCUGCCAAUCUUGGGUUCGCCAGUCCCUGCAGCUACGUGAAUCAGGAGAAGCCUCUAUCCUGAUCCACAGACUUGAGACAUUCCAGCCUCUACAACCACGCUUAAAAGGAGCCAAUCCAGAGGUUGGAGGGGAACCUCACUGCCAUCAAGAAGAAGAGCUAGGAGUAGAGCACAUUCUUUGGACCCAGGGUUUCUGCACUGAGAAUAUCCUAGGCCCAGAAGACAGAGAGAGCUGUAACACCAGAGACAGCAGCAAGCACAGCAGAGUCCAGCGGCAGAGAAAUGGCAGCAGCAGAACCAGGAGACCGACAUAAGACAGCACAGCGGGCUUCCUGGCCCACAGAAUAAGGAGGCUACAGUGGCGUGUGCUGACCCAAGGAGCAAGAGAGCUGAGCAUCUUCAGGCAGGAAGCUUCCUUGCAGAGUGGGGUGCCUCCAGGCACUUAUUGGUGGAGCUAAAAAAAGAGUUGUAACACUUGCCCAAGCAGGGCAGAGGUCAGGGCCAAGAGGAGCCUGUCCUGGGGGGGAGGGGGGCCAAGAGGAGGCUUGUCCUCAGGGAGCCCAGAGAAGCCUGUCCUCAGGGGCUUGAGAGGAGGCCUGCAUGGCUGAGAGCGGGCAUGCACAGCAGAGAGAAGGGGCUGCUUGCUUGCACAGCCAAGAAUAGCUGAGAGAGAGCUGUUGUGCACUGAAGAAGGGAGGGAUGUGCUCUUCACUUCAGGGGAGACUUUCAGACUUUGUUUACGUGCUUCCUGUUCCUGGUCCUGAUCCUAAGUUGUAACCUAAUAAAUCCCACAGUAGUAUGGUCUGUGAGUUCUAUGUGGCCAUUGCAAUGAAUUGUUGAAUUAUUGAACCCAGCUGAGAAGUAGAGAGUGUUGUGGGAGGGACAGCUGGUGUCAGAAAGUUUGGAGAGACAAGGCAUGUCUGACCUCCACCUCACAGGAAUCAGCCUUGGGCUGAUGUUGAUCUUGAUUCUCUCUCCUCUCCCUGAAGUUAGACAAGGAGGUCUGACUCCACACCAUUUUUAUAGUGCCCCAGGACAUUUCACAGAAUGAGAACACUGUGAGGAGCGGACUGAGGAAUGGCCAUUCCUUUACAUUGGACCUUAGUAAGGGUGUUACAACCCCACCCUAAUCCUCUUUAACAUUAAAUUACAAUCACAAAAUGGAGGACAACCACACAAUACUGGGAAUCAGGGCCCAGCCAAACUGAUACACAUAUUUUGGGGGGACAUAAUUUAUGACAUGCUGCCAAGUUUAGGGUGGUUCAUUAGACUGCAGUAAAUAACUGGAAUACUAAAAGAGAUUUUACAAAGCUCUGCCUGUGGGUCCACUGUUAGCUACAUGAGUUUCAUGUUACUCUUGACUUUUGCUUCUUAGUUGGAAGAAAUUCUAAUAUGGUAGUUGUCAAACAUGUUUGCAUAUUCUUUGACACUGUCAUCAAGGGUUGGGAAUCUAAUUGCCCUACCCUUGAAUAUGGUCUAGACUUAGUAAAUAAUUUCUAAUGAAUAGAAUUCAGCAGAUAGAACACUGUGACCUCCAAGGCUAGGUUAUAAAAGUGUGUUAACCUGGAGGACUUGUGCUUCAAACCUAACUGCCAUGGUGUGAGGAAGGCCAGGUGACAAUGGAGAGGCCAAACAUAGAUAUUCCAGUCCUCGGCCCCAAUUAAGGCCCUAGUCAACCAGCACCACUGCCUAAUAGUUGAGCAGGGAAGCCUUUGAGAUGGCAUCAGCCCCAGUCAUUACAUUGUUAUCUGACUGCAAUCUCAUGAAGGACCUCAAAUGAGAACCCUCCAUGAGCCCAGUCAUCAAUAAAUGAUUGCUGUGUUUAUGCUGUGUCUUAGUCACCUAGUGCUGCUAUAACAGAAAUACCUCAAGUGGAUGGUUUUAACAAAGAAAAAUUUAUUUCUUCACAGUAAAGUAGACUAAAACUCCAAAUUCAGGGCCUCAGCUCCAGGGGAAGGUUUUUUCUCUGUCAGCCUUCCAUCAAUCUUCCUCCAGGCUAAGAGCUUCUCUCCACAGUGACCCUGGGUCCAAAGGACGCACUCUGUCCCAGCACUGCUUUCUUGGUGGUACGAGGUCCCCCACUCUCUGCAUGCUUCUCUUUCCUGUUAUGCCUUGUAAGAUAAAAGGUGGUGCAGGCCAGUCCCAGGGAAACUCCCUUUACAUUGGACCAGGGAUGUGACCUUAGUAAGGGUGUUACAAUCCCACCCUAAUCCUCUUUAACAUAAAAUUACGAUCUCAAAAUGGAGGACAACCACACAAUACUGGGAAUCAGGACCCAGCCAAAUUGUUACACACAUUUUAGGUGGACAUAAUUCAUGACAUGCUGCCAAGUUUAGGGUGGUUCAUUAGACUGCAGUAAAUAACUGGAAUACUAAAAGAGAUUUUACAAAGCUCUGCCUGUGGGUCGCUGUUAACUACCAUGAGUUUCAUGUUACUCUUGAUUUUUAUUUCUUAGAAACUAUUAGUUUUCGUGGAGGAUAACAAUUAUUUUUAUUAGAUACUCAUCAAAUAUUUUUAUGAUCCACAGUAAUCAUUUUUAUUAAUUCAUUUCAAAAUAACCAUGUCAUAAGGGCUGGAAACAUUAGUCACUUUAUAUGUUCUCCUGAGGGAAAAGCAAUUAAACAGUCUUUUGGUGGAAUAAGCUUGGAACGUAUUCUUUAGCUCCCUAAGCCAUUAAAAAUUGGGAAGCUUUAGAAUGAAUGGAUCCUUGAAGUUGUUUUUGAAGCAGGAGAGGUGGCAAUAGAGAAGCAGAACAUCAAUACCUGUAGUUAUGGGUUGAAUCAUGUCCUCCAAAAGAUGUUAAUGUCCUAAUCCCUGUACCUGUGAAUGUAACCCUGUUUGGGAAUACGGAUUUUCUUCUGUUUGGUUAUUAAGGCCAUACCAGAAUAGGAUGAGUCCUACGCCUAACCUCUUCUUAAUGAUGUCUUAAAAAUAUAAAAAAAAGAGAGCAGAGCAGGCAUACAAAGACAUAUACAGAGAAAAGAGAUUGUGUGAGGAACCAUGUACAAGCCAAGGAACAUCCAGAUGACAAGAAAAAACCCUCCCCUAGAGCCAAUAACCUGAUAUGGACUCCUAGCCCCCAGAACUGUGAGACAAUACAUUUUUGUUAUUUAAAGCCAUAUAUUUAAAGCCAUAUACUCGUGGUAUUUUGUUAUGGCAGCACUAGAAAGCUAAGACAUCUGGGCCACUUCAGCAUGCUGGGCAGUGAAAUAAUAUUGCAGAGGUUGCCUGUAAACCUUUAGCCACUGUCAAGUGUUUUCUAGGAGCUAACUUUGUCCUCAUCAACACUUACAGGUCUAAAAAUUCCAGCUGUGAAAAAAAAUUGGGUAUCUAUAUAGACAUUGGAAACCCUGGUGGUACAGUGGUUAGCUGUUAGGCUGCUAACCAAACAGUCAGUUCAAAUCCACCAGACACUCCUUGGAAGCUCUAUAGGGCAGUUCUACUCUGUCCUAUCGGGUCACUAUGAGUCGGAGUCAACUUGACAGCAAUGGAAAUAGCGUAGCACGGCAUGAGUCAGAAUCAACUCCAUGGCAACAGGUUUGAUCUGGGUAUCCACCCACUGCCGUCUAGUCAAUUCUGACUCAUGGCGACCCUAUAGGACAGAGUAGAACUGCCUGAUAGAGUUUCCAAGGAGCGCCUGGAACCCCAGGGUUUUCUGAUCUGGGUAUAUAGACAUUAAUAUGUAUACCAAUACCAGUUGCCAUUGAGUUGAUUUCAACUCAUGGCAAUUCUAUAUGUAUCAGAGUAGAACUGUGUUCUAUAGGGUUUUCGAUGGUUGUUUUUUUGGAAGUGGGUUGCCAGCCCUUUCUCCUAAAGCACCUCUGGGUGAACUUGAACUUCCUACCUUUCAGUUAAUAGCCAAACACAUUAACCGUUUGCACCGCCCAGGGACAGACACAUGCAAAUACACAUACACACAAGACUCUACUUCUUAUCAACUGUGUGUCUUAAAUUACUUAACCUCUCUUUGUUUUAAUUUUCUCAUCUCUAAAAUGAGGAUAAUACUUUCCACAUGGGAUUGUUGAAAGUAAAUGAGCUUAGAAUAAUACUUGGAGCACUAGAAUAGAGUGUGAUGUUAUUAAUAAUCUAAACAUAUACGUACACACAUCAAAGAAAAACUGGGAGAAAUUACACCAGAGUCCACAGUUAUCUCUGGGUGGUAGGAUUAUGGAUGCUUUCUGUUUUCUUCUUUAUCUUCUUCUAUAUUUUUAAAACAUCCUAUAAUGACCUUGUAUUUCAUUAACUAAAAAAAUUUUUUUUCAAAAUUGACUGUAAGGGAUACCUAAAAAAAUUGAAAUGGUUAUUGCAAAGAUGGUAGAAGUAUGGAUAACUUUUCCAAUGUUUUUAAUUUAUUUUUUAGUGUUUCAAUUUUUCGUAAGUUGACUUAAUCAGAGGAGUUUUUAGGUCUAUGAAGAUGGACACAGAGGAUGAAUUAAUGUUUAGCCAUGUGGUACAGAUGCAAGAUGUAGAAGUUCAUUAGAGAGAGACCACGAGGACUGCAGCAGUCAUAGUAGGCUUCUUGAAAGUGGUGAGGCUCAUGGUAGACGUAGGAAGAUGGGUGCUUUUUCCAGAUGACCAAUUCCAUCUUGUCAUACACUGUCACCCACAACAGUUUUGAGCUCUCACUACAUGCCAGAGCACUACUCCAGGUGCUGAGGGAAUAAAGAAAGGCUCUGUCAUCAGCUUACUACUUAAUGGGGAAAGUACAUUCGUAAGCAUGUCAUCUUUCAAUUUAAUACAGAAAAUUCCAGUAUAGUAAUACAUGCAGGGCUCAGUGGGAACACAUGCAAAGCACAUUUGACUACCCUGGGGUUCAGAUCAGUUUCUUUGAAGUGGAGUUCUUGAGCUUAAGCUAGACGGAUGAGCUAAUCCCAGGCAUAGAAAGAAGGGCAUUCCUGGAGGCAGGAACAGAAGUGCAAAAUGACGUGGUAUCUACAGUAAACCAUGAGCAAUUGGUUUUGGUAAAGGAACAGAAGUGUGAAAUGACACAGUAGCUACAAUAAACCACAAGCAAUUGGUUUUACCAAAAGAGUACUCUUCAAACUUCUUUCCCCCACAGAAUCCUUUCUUCAAACCAAAGAUCAUAUGUAGGAACCCAAGAGAUAAAAUAAACAAAAUUAGGUUGGCGUAUGUAGGGUUAUGUGUGGCUGACCCAAGUCAUGGCCUUUUCAAUCGCCUCAUAUGCAUGUGACAGCUGGGCAAUGAAAAAGGAAGACUGAAGAAUUGAAGCAUUUGAAUUGUGGCAUUGACAAAGAAUAUUGACUAUACCAUGGACUGCCAGAAGAACAAACAAAUCUGUCUUGGAAGAAGUACAACCAGAAUGCUCCUUAGAAGCAAGAAUAUCGAGACUUUGUCUUGCAGACUUUGGACGUGUUAUUAGAAAGGGCCAAUCCCUGGAGAAGGGCAUCAUGAUUGGUAAAGUGGAGGGUCACCGAAAAAGAGGAAGACCCUCAGUGAGAUAGACUGACACCAUGGCUGCAACAAUGGGUUCUAAAGUAGCAACAAUUGUGGAGAUGGCACAGGAAGGGGAAUUGUUUCAUUCUCCUGUGCACACGGUUGCUAUGAGUUGAAACCAACUCGAUGACACCUAACAACACCUAACUUACUUUAACAAAUGAAAUGCAAUCAGAUGUGACAUAUGCCCCUCCUAGCAGAAUCUUUAAAUGCUUGGAUGGUUUUGCCCUGCUUCUCUUGAACUGAGGCAAGUGGUCUUACGAUGGUGAGGAGGAAGGAUGUGGGACUCUUUCAAGAAGGUCUUUCUACUUUUCAAGUAAUAAGGGAAACAGCUGCCCCUUCUCAAACUUUUUCUUGAGAGUCCAGAUUUUACACUCUGCUGUAGUGUGAAAUUAUUUCAUUUUAAGCAAUGAGCAGCCUGUGUUUCUUGAGGGUUUGUUAAGUCUCUUAUGAUUUGUGAUGACUACAUUGUACACCAAUGGGUUUCUUCAAAGCUUAAACUCCGUGUUUUUGGAGAAAGUGUCUUAAAAUGAUAUCUUGCUUUAUUUUUACCAUAUAGCAAGGUUGGAAAAAACAUGUGAACACUGGUGCCAGGCUUUCUCUCUGAGUGUGAACUGUCUUUGCUCAGGACAAUAGCUUUAUAGGUCAUUUGGAAUGGAAAGUAGACCCUGAGACAAGGGAGAAUAGGAGAGAGAAAAAAAUGAGAGAUUAAACUGUUCUGCUUUAGAAAUAAACAAGCAUGGGGGGCAGAAGGAGAGAGUUGAGAUAAAAAGAGAGUAGAAGUAGAAAAAAAGCACAAGAUUAAGUAAUGGGCAGUAAGCUGAAACCCAGGUUGGCUAAUGCAGAGACUUCUAGUUGUCCCACCAAAAGCUGUCUCCUUUUCUUGCACAGUAAUAGAGUUCUAGCUUGGCACAUGACUGCCCUGUUAGAGACUACAUUUCCCAGGCUCCAUUCCAGCUGGUGUGAUCAUGUGACUAUGUUCUUGCCAAUAGAAUGAGAACAGAAGUAGUGUAUGUACCUGCUUCCUUUGUAGGAAAUCCUUGGCCUCUAUUCCCUGUCUCUUCUUCUCUUCCCAUGGGCUGUUGGUGAAUGUGGUUUGAUCCAGCUUUGAUCAUGCAGAUGAGGACAGCUCCCAGGGGAUGACAAAAUAAAAGGGACUGUGGUUCCCGAGUGAUUGUGUGGAGCAGAGCAGCCUCAUACUCUGGACUGGAAGAGAGAAAUAAAGCCAUAGUAGUUUGUCUGGGUAGUCUGGGGAAGGUUAAAGCCCUCAGCUGCUAACUGAACAGUUGUUGGUGGUUCGAGCCCACUCAGCAGCUCCAUGGGAGAAAGACCUGGCAACCUGCUUCCAUAAAGAUUACAGUCUAGAAAACUUAAUGGGACAAUUCUACUCUAAUCACUGUGAGUGACAGUACCUAACAACAACAGUGCGGGGAAAGGUCUUUUUGUUCCAGCACCUUAGCCUAAAUCUUAACAAAUACAGUGGCAGAAAUCACUGCGGGGUUUUUAAAAAAUAGAUAACUAUUAUUCAAUUAAAAAAAAAAUUUUAUCUUCUCUGUUGUAAACUCUCAUCCUUUUGACUUUGGGCAAGAUCUGUUACAAGCAUAAAGGCUUUGUGCAAGUAAGGGGUUUGGUAGAAAUCAAGGAAAAUAACUGGGUCCCGUAGCUGGGCUGACAGAGUACAGACCAAGAAGAACACGUGCUAGACGGUCUAUAAGCUAAAGUAAUUCCAUGGAAGCAGGAGCUCUGAGCCAAAGAUUACAAUGACAAUGUGAGUACACCUGAAUUCACAGAAAUCACAGGAAGGGGACCGCAUACAAAACAUGGAAUGGAGGGAUGAUCCAAUUCAAUCUAGGUCAAAGGGUGCAGGAUGACCUCAAUGGACACCUAGACCAAACACAGAGCAAUUAACCCAAGAAGGCAGGAAUAUGUAGUGGUUAAGACUGCAGAUUCUAAAGGCAGACUGUAUGAGUUCCAAUUUCUACUCUACCACUUAAAACUGUGUCACUUUGGAGAAGUUACUUAAACUCUAAGCCUCAGUUUCCUAAUCAGUAAAUUGAAUAUAAUAAUAACAAUAUCAACCUCACGGUGUUGUCUGAGAUCACUCUACAUUUUGUGCUCAAAAUUAAAUGGAAUAAUGUACAUCAUGGUGCAGGACCAGGCAAUGGCUUCGUUCUUCUUCACAUGGAGUCAUCAUGAUUCAGUGCCAACUCAACUGUAACCAACAAUAGCAAUGUACAUAAAACACUUAGCACAGUGCCUGACAUAUACUGUGGAAUCACAUAAAGAUUAACCUCUAUUAUUAACAAUAACAUUCAUAAAUUCCAUAACAAUAUUAAUACGAAAUCCAAACCAUUUUUUCAAGGCUUAGAGGAAAAUCACAAGCGUUGAGACUUCUUUUGCAAAGUCGUACACUCUCAUGUUUCUUUCUUGACCUGAGGAAUGUGGGGUAGAGAGAAGGGUGUCACUCCAGCAUGCGAGGUGUGCAGGGCAAGUAUCAGUAGCUCAUUGUUCACAGGAGAAAACAGAGAAGUUGGGAAAGGUGUCCAAGGCAGCAAGCUAGGGGCAGAACUAGAACUAAAACCUGGGCCUCCUGCCAUGAUUUGAAUCCCCAGGCACUUUAGCAGAUCCAGAGAACAAAAUAAUUACACUUCUACCUCAAGGUUCAGGCUGCCCAGAGGCCUGCCCUAUUGUUCUCUCCAUCUUCCCUUUGUGUUCCCUUUCUAAGUAAACAACUUACCGUCCACUAAGGAACUCAAGCAAGAAAGCCAUAGCCAUCCUAUGCUUCCUGUCUUUCCUUCCUCCCAUAUCAAUUAGUCCUUAAGGACGCCUAUUUCAUCUCCUAAAUUACUCUCAACUCUAUCCACUUCUUCCCACCUCCACUGCCACCAACCUACGUCACGUCACCCACAAUAGCCUCUAAAUUGGUGUCCACACUUUCCCCCUUCAUUUCUUUCUCUUCUCUGCAGCCAGAGAUUUUUUAAAACAGAAAUGUAAUCAUGCCUGUCUCUGCUUCAUACCUUCACCUGGCUUCCCACUACCCCUGGGGUAAAGUCCAACCAGACUACCUGCUUAACUUCAGCUUGCAACACUCUCCCUGGCUCUCUCAGCUCCGACCACACUAGGCAGUUUUUCUGUUUCUAGACCAGAGCUUCUAGCCUUUAAAUGCUGCUUCCUCUAUCAAGGACAGUUUUUCCUGCUCUACAUCCCUUCAUCCAGGUAACUCUUAUUUGAGAACAAUUUUUUAUCAAGCUCCUAUUAUGUGCUAAGGAAAUCCUGGUGGUGUAGUGGUUAAGUGCUACAGCUACUAACCAAAAGUUUGGCUGUUCAGAUCCCCCAGGAACUCCUUGGAAACUCUAUGGGGCAGUUCUACGCUGUCCCAUAGAGUCACUAUGAGUCGGAAUUGACAUCAACGGGUUUGGUUUUUUGGUUAUUAUGUGUCAAGCACUGUUGUAGGCCACAGAGAUAGUUAACCUUUUUUGUGCCAAGAACUCUAUUGGCAAUCUGGUCAAACCUAUGGAUUCAGGCUAAUGCUUCUCAAAUGUAUAAAAUAAAUACAUGGAAUUAUAAAAUAUAUUGAAUAUAUAAAAAUAUUUUUUUAUUUGUGAAGUUGUUUUUAUUAGUUGCUGUAGAGUCAGCUCCGACUCACGGUGACCUUGUGCUUAACAGAAGGAAACGUUGCCAGGUCCUAUGUCACCUUCUAGUACCAUA